UACGUAGGGAGCGAGCGUUGUCCGAAGUUACUGGGCGUAAAGCGCGCGUAGGCGGGCUGUUAAGUGAGAGGUGAAAGGCUGGGGCUCAACUCCAUGCAGUGCCUCUCAUACUGGCGGUCUUGAGUGCGGCAGGGAGAAGUGGAAUGGCUGGUGUAGCGGUGAAAUGCGUAGAUAUCAGUCGGAACACCGGUGGCGAAGGCAGCUUCUUGGGCCUGGACUGACGCUGAGGUGCAAAAGCGUGGGGAGCAAACAGG
rnacentral:rRNA from 1 species